rnacentral:rRNA from 1 species
GACGAACGCUGGCGGCGCGCUUAACACAUGCAAGUCGAACGGAAAGGCCUGCUUUCCCUUGUGGAUUGCGGGUACUCGAGUGGCGAACGGGUGAGUAACACGUGAGUGAUCUGCCCCCAACUUGGGUAUAAGCCUGGGAAACUGGGUCUAAUUCCCGAUAGGACUGCAGGGUGGUGCCUGUGGUGGAAAACGAUUUUCUAGUGGUUGGGGAUGAGCUCGCGGCCUAUCAGCUUGUUGGUGGGGUAAUGGCCUACCAAGGCGGCGACGGGUAGCCGGCCUGAGAGGGUGGACGGCCCCAUUGGGACUGAGAUACGGCCCAGACUCCUACGGGAGGCAGCAGUGGGGAAUAUUGCACAAUGGGCGGAAGACUGAUGCAGCGACGCCGCGUGGGGGAUGACGGCCUUCGGGUUGUAAACUCCUUUCGACCGCGAGGAAGCCACCUGGUUGGAAGGGUGGUGACGGUAGUGGUAGAAGAAGCACCGGCUAACUACGUG